CCGGGGCCGGGGGGAGGGGGACAGAUGGGUGAUGACACAGGUCGGGCAGACUGCCUGGGUGGACCUCUGCGCCCGCUCAGCCUCCUCAUGUGUAAAUGGGGAGCGGACCCUGAGCCCCGGGUCGGAGUGGGGCACGGUGACUGAGCUGGUGGAGCCCCUGCACAGAGUGAAGCGGCGCUGUGCCAGCAGAGGGACAGAAGAUGGACACGCGGAUGGACAGACGGGCAGACCUGCUCCAGUGUUCACGGAGGCAUCGCGCACGGAGCAGACGGACAAGCGUGUGCAGUGGAGAAAGGCCUGUUUCCUGAGCUCGAAUCUUCCCUCCUCGGAGCCCGUGCGGUUGUUCGAACACUGGGUGAUGAGACCAUCGGGCUCGUUUUCCCGGGGCUGCGCUCGAGUGGGACCGAGCCCCCGGCAGCUCAGCCCGCACGCGGCUUCCCACGCAAGGAGCCGCCAAAACGAAGCCGCCAAGCGUCUCCCCCGGACCAAGCGCGAGCGCCCUGGGUCUGGUCGGGGCAGCCCACAAACCAGGGACACCGCCCCGGCUCUGCUGGCGACCGGGACCGGGCAGAGGGGAAGGUGGAAGCAGAAAUCAUCCCUUCAAUCAUUCAUUCCUUUGUUCAACUCAUAUUUGGUGAAUCCCUAGCUUGAGCCACACCCCAUUUCACACACUAAAGCACAACCUUGAGUAAAACACACCAAACUCCCAUCUCUCCUGGAGGUUAUAUUCAAGGGAUGGGAACUUUAUCUAAGAAAAUAUAGUGUCAGCUGGUGACUGGAGCUCCGGGUCGGAGGAGGAGGGGGAGGCAGGGCUGCUGGGUGCAGUUGGCCAGGUUGUGCACUGCCCAAGUCUGGCAGAACAGUCCCCAUCAGUCAUCCUAGAGUCCCACCCUCACAGGGAUGGUUUCCCAGCAGAUGGCAGUAACAUGUCUGAGGAAGGGCCUACCUGUAAUUUGCCCAAGGCCACCUCCUGGGCUCACAGCAGUGGGAAGAAGGGGGUCCUGCCAGGAUGACCCAGAGUUGCAACUGUCACUUCCAGGCAGCUCUGCCCCCCUCAGACAGCUCCUAACCAGGGCACCGCAUGUCUCGGCCCCCACGCAGACUCAGGAAGGGCCAUGAACUCGGCUGUUCUUAGCGCAGACAGGAACGUGGGGACAGCAGGUGCUGGAGGUGAGUCACUGGGAAGGUCGGGGACAGUGGAGACCUGGACAGGGCCUGUCCCCUCAGGGCAGUGACCUUCAGGUUAUACCAACACACCUGUGCCAGCCAGGCACACCUGUCAGGGGCUCCUGCAGCCCUGUACCCCGAGUGCUGCCCCUGGUGAUGGUCGCAUCUCUUCCGUUUCUCCUGAGGCCUCUCCCCGCAGGGACAAGCUCCUCCGUGAAUGCGGGGUCCCGGGGAGGCUCCCAGAUGCCACGCGUCCCGGUGCCGGCCCCAGGGGUCCCACUCAGACGCACAGGGUGAAGGUCCCUGUGUCUCUGGGUCUGAGGACGUCUGUGACUCCGUGUCCGGCUGUGCGGGCACAGAGCGUCUCUGAGGCUUGCGGUAUUUUCACAAAAACUCCUCCCCAAAACUUAUGAGCCUGAGAGCAACACAUUCAUUUCUGUGACACAGGAUGAAAUAAGGGGACAUUUUUCACGUUUCUG
ensembl:lncRNA